CGUUUUAUCUCUCAGCUCCCUGACAUGCGCCCCUGCUCCCCAUCGCGUCAGCCGCCAGCCGCCUGGUCCCUCCGCCACCUCGCGCCGGCAGCUCCAACCCCCCGUGCUCGCCCGCUAGCUUGUCGCAUCCCACCCCGCCCCUUGCUGUGACGGUCUCCCUUCGCUGCGCCGCCGCUCGUCCGCACAACUCGCUGCAGCCAAUGAAGCGGGGAGGUGAGGACUUCGUGGUGUCUGGUAGGUCCGGGGAUGAUGGAGUCCUCGAUUACACGGAGGAUGACGGUACCAGUGAUGCAUUCGCGACUCCGGCAAUGGGAGCGACCAUGGGGGCCUAAUAGCGAGGAUGGUAAGGUUCCUUAUUUUGUGAAUUUUAUUUACCCUUCACUCGAUGCUGGUUCUGUGCUGGCAUAGGAGCUGUGUUGUACUAGAUUUGUAAACCAUGUGCUUCAGUUGCAAAUUUCAUUCAGGUGGUACUCAAGUCUCAAUUUCUACUUGGUUUAUUCCAUUUAUAUUCUGUUCAUCCAGAACUGAAUGAAACGUGCAGUCAUUUAGAGGAUAAUAAAUGAAUCUCCACAAUCCCCUGACAUUUGCCUUGACAUCCUUCAUCCUGUGGGGUAUUGAGUGUACGUGUACCACAUAUAUUUAUCUAUGUUUACUGCCAUUGUCAUAGAGGAUUAAUUAGGCGGACAAAGAGGUAUUCGUGAGUUGAUGCUUCUCGUAAAAUACAAUCGGUAGUAUUCAGAAGUCACAUAUGCCACACAUAAUUAUCGGUGUUUAGUAUCUUCUAAUGAUUGAUACAUAUAUGUUCAAAAAAGAUUGUUAUUCUUUCUGUAUGAAUACUGAACCAUGAAUACUGGAAAACUAACUAUUCAUACACACGCCCAGACUUGCAUUAUUAGUGUAACAAUGUCAGUAAAGCUGUGGUAGCUUGCCCCAUGGUUAUAUCCAUUAGUACUUUUGACUUUUUAUAUUUAGUUUAGUGGAGGUAUUCCUUAUACAGUCAUAGUGGCCAGGAUUUAUUGCCAGUAGUUUGAAUAUCCUUAUACGCUGACAGUGGCUAUUGUUCCAUUGCUCUCAUAAAAAAAUUGGUUUCUCCAUUUUAGUUGAUUUCUCUACGUCAAUAUCUUGGCACCUUCAAGCAUUGCCAUGACUCAUUUGAAUAUUCCUAUGUUUUAUCUAGCAUAUUUUUUCUGUUAUUUUGAAGAGAUCAUUGAUGUAGGAACUAUUAAUCAUGUUGUUAUUUUCAGUUAGAGAAGGUGAACACUGGAUUGCCCUAUGUUUGAAUAAAUUUUGAUAUCAUGGGAGUAGGGUACAGCUUAGAGCACAUGGACCAAAUAUAUUCUAGGAAGGGACCUGAAAAUGUUAAUAUUAUGCAUCAGUACUUUGAUUGAAAAUCCGCCUAAGGUUUUACAAGAUGUGAGAAAAUUGCAGUGCGAUCAAUGCUUAUAUUUUUCUGUGUUGCUCGUUUUAAUUUAUAUUGGUCGAGAUGUGCCUUUCACAUACCUAGUUACUCGUAGUAAAGCAAUGUAUGAAAGAAGCUACUUUUGACAACUGAGAAGCAUCCAUCAUAUUUCUAAAUAUGCUCUAGCAGUCAAACUAACUCUAAUGUUCAAUAUGACCAGAAAUUUCAGUAAAUGAGCAUAUACAUUCUUACCUGGGCAUAAAAUAACGGAUUCUUCCUUUGCGAGCUUGCAGCAAAAAUCAAUGUCAUCAUGGAUGUCCUCCAAAAGGUGUAAGUUCAGUUUCACCUGUUUACAUUGAAUUUAAUAUAAAGUUAUUGAGAAUCAGUUAAGCUUUCUAGAAAAUAGCAGGGACUUUUGUACUCCCUACGGCCCAAGUUAAUUGACGCUACAUGCAUCUUCACAAAGAAAAUAAGAUCCUUAUUAUUUACGUUCCCUCUAUAUUAUCUAAAAUUUAUUUCACACUUACUAAAUAAAACUUUUUUGCAAUGUAUUGCGGUUCCAAAUUAGUUCCUCUUAUUUUGACAUUCCCUAAGAACAUAUUUUAUUAUAUAAAUAGGCUUACCAUUACAAACAUGGAUCCUUCUGGCUUGUGAGGACAGCUGAGAUAUUGGUUUUCCUGUAUAUCUCUGUAGCAUAUUUCUGACGAUUCCUUAAGCAGACCAAUAAUCCUCUUAAAGAAAUCCUCUGUCGUGUUUUCAAGAAUUUUGGGAAGAGCUCCCUAAUCAAUUUGGUAGUACAAGAAAUCACAUAUUAGUGUUCAAAAUAAAAUGCAUAAGAGAACAAAAAUAACAAAGAUAGUAAACAUGUAGAAAUAACAGAAGCUUCUAUAGGUAAAGAAAUGCUAAGAAAAAAGCAUGUAAAUUCGAUAAAUUCUUUCAUUUCUAAAUAUUCAAUACUUGGAAGAAAAUAAUAUGGAGUGCUCGCAAAACUUAGUUCAAUUUAUUUAUGUUUUAUCUAUUUGUCGAAUCAAACAAAGCAAAGCUAAACAACUAAAAGAACAUAUCUUUAUUUAGUUUAGUUUAGUUUAGUUUGACUUUGACUUUCAAAGUGAAAAAAAAACACUAACUUGUUACUGAGCAUGUGGUAGCUACAACCUAUCCUGAUAUCCAUCGAAGAAAAAUAGGACAAGCACGAGUAAAUAAAAACUAACCUGAAUGAAAGUUGCUGGAUCCGUUGACACAUUAAGGUAGUUCGUAAUAGACGCAGCGAUCUACAAAGCACAUCGCAUAUUUAGCAAAAUAGUAAUCCUCGCAAUAGCAUAUGAAUAGAGUUUUAGAGAGUUACCUUAGUUUCUUGCAAAAUCUUUUUGGGGUCGUAUACAGCUACCCAACCAAGUCGCCAUCCAGGCACUAUCCAUGACUUUGAUAGAGAUCCUAUUGACAAUACAGGGGCAAUGUGCCCAAA